UCCGGUUCAUCACCGGCAGUUUCCUUAGAGUGCUCGACUUAACUCGUUAGCAACUAAGGACAAGGGUUGCGCUCGUUACGGGACUUAACCCAACAUCUCACAACACGAGCUGACGACAGCCAUGCAGCACCUGUCUCUGCGUUCCUUUCGGCACCCCAGCUGCUAAGCCAGGUUCGCAGGAUGUCAAGAGUAGGUAAGGUUCUUCGCGUUGCAUCGAAUUAAACCACAUGCUCCACCGCUUGUGCGGGCCCCCGUCAAUUCCUUUGAGUUUCAACCUUGCGGCCGUACUCCCCAGGCGGAAUACUUAUCGCGUUAGCUUCGAUACAGAAUAGUCUCCUAUCCCACAUCUAGUAUUCAUCGUUUACAGCGUGGACUAC
rnacentral:misc_RNA from 1 species